GGGUUGUGAGGUUAAGCGACUAAGCGUACACGGUGGAUGCCCAGGCAGUCAGAGGCGAUGAAGGGCGUGCUAAUCUGCGAUAAGCGUCGGUAAGGUGAUAUGAACCGCAACAACCGACGAUACCCGAAUGGGGAAACCCAGUGCAAUCCGUUGCACUAUCAUGUCAUGAAUACAUAGUGGCAUGAGGCGAACCGGGGGAACUGAAACAUCUAAGUACCCCGAGGAAAAGAAAUCAACCGAGAUUCCCCCAGUAGCGGCGAGCGAACGGGGAACAGCCCAGAACCUGAAUCAGUUUGUGCCUUAGUGGAAGCGUCUGGAAAGUCGCGCAGUAAAGGGUGACAGCCCCGUACACAAAAAGGCACUUGCUGUGAGUUCGAUGAGUAGGGCGGGACACGUGACAUCCUGUCUGAAUAUGGGGGGACCAUCCUCCAAGGCUAAAUACUCCUGACUGACCGAUAGUGAACCAGUACCGUGAGGGAAAGGCGAAAAGAACCCCGGCGAGGGGAGUGAAACAGAACCUGAAACCGUGUACGUACAAGCAGUGGGAGCACCUUCGUGGUGUGACUGCGUACCUUUUGUAUAAUGGGUCAGCGACUUAUAUUCUGUAGCAAGGUUAACCGUAUAGGGGAGCCGCAGGGAAACCGAGUCUUAACUGGGCGUUAAGUUGCAGGGUAUAGACCCGAAACCCGGUGAUCUAGCCAUGGGCAGGUUGAAGGUUGGGUAACACUAACUGGAGGACCGAACCGACUAAUGUUGAAAAAUUAGCGGAUGACCUGUGGCUGGGGGUGAAAGGCCAAUCAAACCGGGAGAUAGCUGGUUCUCCCCGAAAGCUAUUUAGGUAGCGCCUCGUGAAUUCAUCUCCGGGGGUAGAGCACUGUUUCGGCUAGGGGGCCAUCCCGGCUUACCAACCCGAUGCAAACUGCGAAUACCGGAGAAUGUUAUCACGGGAGACACACGGCGGGUGCUAACGUCCGUCGUGAAGAGGGAAACAACCCAGACCGCCAGCUAAGGUCCCAAAGUCAUGGUUAAGUGGGAAACGAUGUGGGAAGGCACAGACAGCCAGGAUGUUGGCUUAGAAGCAGCCAUCAUUUAAAGAAAGCGUAAUAGCUCACUGGUCGAGUCGGCCUGCGCGGAAGAUGUAACGGGGCUAAACCAUGCACCGAAGCUGCGGCAGCGGACGUAUCACCCAAGCAGAUUCACUGAAGUGGAUAACGAUUGACGGAGCGCAGCGACGUCAAUGCGCCAUCAAAGUCGAGUCGACUUCGGGAUACGUCCGUUGGGUAGGGGAGCGUUCUGUAAGCCGUCGAAGGUGUGCUGUGAGGCAUGCUGGAGGUAUCAGAAGUGCGAAUGCUGACAUAAGUAACGAUAAAGCGGGUGAAAAGCCCGCUCGCCGGAAGACCAAGGGUUCCUGUCCAACGUUAAUCGGGGCAGGGUGAGUCGACCCCUAAGGCGAGGCCGAAAGGCGUAGUCGAUGGGAAACGGGUUAAUAUUCCCGUACUGGGUGUUACUGCGAAGGGGGGACGGAGAAGGCUAUGUUAGCCGGGCGACGGUUGUCCCGGUUUAAGCGUGCAGGCUUGAGUUCCAGGCAAAUCCGGAACUCUUUAAGGCUGAGGCGUGAUGACGAGGCACCACGGUGCUGAAGUAACAAAUGCCCUGCUUCCAGGAAAAGCCUCUAAGCAUCAGGUAACAUCCAAUCGUACCCCAAACCGACACAGGUGGUCAGGUAGAGAAUACCAAGGCGCUUGAGAGAACUCGGGUGAAGGAACUAGGCAAAAUGGUGCCGUAACUUCGGGAGAAGGCACGCUGGCGCGUAGGUGAAGCGACUUGCUCGUGGAGCUGAAGCCAGUCGAAGAUACCAGCUGGCUGCAACUGUUUAUUAAAAACACAGCACUGUGCAAACACGAAAGUGGACGUAUACGGUGUGACGCCUGCCCGGUGCCGGAAGGUUAAUUGAUGGGGUUAUCCGUAAGGAGAAGCUCUUGAUCGAAGCCCCGGUAAACGGCGGCCGUAACUAUAACGGUCCUAAGGUAGCGAAAUUCCUUGUCGGGUAAGUUCCGACCUGCACGAAUGGCGUAAUGAUGGCCAGGCUGUCUCCACCCGAGACUCAGUGAAAUUGAACUCGCUGUGAAGAUGCAGUGUACCCGCGGCAAGACGGAAAGACCCCGUGAACCUUUACUACAGCUUGACACUGAACAUUGAGCCUUGAUGUGUAGGAUAGGUGGGAGGCUUCGAAGCGUGGACGCCAGUCUGCGUGGAGCCAACCUUGAAAUACCACCCUUUAACGUUUGAUGUUCUAACCUGGCGCCGUUACCCGGCGUGGGGACAGUGUCUGGUGGGUAGUUUGACUGGGGCGGUCUCCUCCCAAAGAGUAACGGAGGAGCACGAAGGUCAGCUAAUCACGGUCGGACAUCGUGAGGUUAGUGCAAUGGCAUAAGCUGGCUUGACUGCGAGAGUGACGGCUCGAGCAGGUGCGAAAGCAGGUCAUAGUGAUCCGGUGGUUCUGAAUGGAAGGGCCAUCGCUCAACGGAUAAAAGGUACUCCGGGGAUAACAGGCUGAUACCGCCCAAGAGUUCAUAUCGACGGCGGUGUUUGGCACCUCGAUGUCGGCUCAUCACAUCCUGGGGCUGAAGUAGGUCCCAAGGGUACGGCUGUUCGCCGUUUAAAGUGGUACGCGAGCUGGGUUUAGAACGUCGUGAGACAGUUCGGUCCCUAUCUGCCGUGGGCGCUGGAAGAUUGAGAGGGGUUGCUCCUAGUACGAGAGGACCGGAGUGAACGCACCGCUGGUGUUCGGGUUGUCAUGCCAAUGGCAUUGCCCGGUAGCUAAGUGCGGAAAAGAUAAGCGCUGAAAGCAUCUAAGCGCGAAACUUGCCUCGAGAUGAAUCUUCCCUGACUCCUUGAGAGUCCUGAAGGGACGUUGAAGACGACGACGUUGAUAGGCCGGGUGUGUAAGCGCAGCGAUGCGUUGAGCUAACCGGUACUAAUGACCCGUGAGGCUUAACCUUACAACGCCAGAAGCGUUCUG
rnacentral:rRNA from 12 species